AACUAAUGAUGUAAAUAAACUAAUGAACAGUAAAGCUGUUAAUAAAAAUCUGUGGUGUAAAAAAGAUUGUAGUGCCUCUAGUGACAGAAAAAAGUAUUACAAAAACAAACACUUUUCCAACGCAACUUAAAUAUUUUUUCUUGCUUUCCUUUCAGGACAGAAUAAAAAUUGCUUGUUUAAGAAAUGAUACAAUGAUCGUACAAUCAAAAAUACUUGAUUUGUUCAGAUCUUGUACAUCAAUUUAAUUAGAUUUUUUUUUUAUGUUGUCAUUUUUCAGAAAAACAAUAUGCUUGGAAAACCAAAACGUAAAUUAAAACCUUUAAUGUCUACUGCAUAUGGUUUUUUUUUUUAAGUGAGUCUUUAAAAUUUGCCUUCCAGGGCUUCCGUACAACCACUUCCUAUGUUAAGAAAUGAUCUUGCUGAUCAGGGUGUCUAGAAACUUUUAUUUAAUAAUCCGUUCCUUCAGAUGUAAACAGAAGCCAAUUUAUUUUUAAUUUAAAAAAAUAAUGUGACAUUUCUCAUCUGUUUUUGAACUUUAAUUAUUUUCCCCAUACUUGAGACCAAAGGUGACGUUUGAACUGUAUUGCAUUUUGAAGACUAAAAUGUCUGUAUUGUUUAUUUAAAAGCAUUUUCUCUUUCAUAUAUUUGUUUUACUAGUUUUAUUAGCCACUGCAGAACAGGAGUAGUUUUAGAUACCUGGAUUAGUAGAGUAGUCUUUUACAGCAGCUCUACAUCCUGGUUUUUCUGAACACCUGGAAGUUUCAGACUCUCACCUCUGCUUCAGCAGGGAAACCAUUAACUGGCUCUGAUACCGAAUACAAGGAACAACCAGAUCCCCCCUAGUUCAACCUGUAAUGACUGAGUGUUGGCACGACUCAGACAGGAAGUGGGUCAACAAAAAGUCGCAAUGCUUUCCAGAGGAACGUUCAACAGGUUUAUCUCAGCAAAACGAGGCUGCAGUGAUCCUAAAUGCCAGAGGCCAGCCGGUCUCUUAUGGCUGCUUCACUUCCUGUUUGAACACACCAAACAGAGCCGUAUUAAGAUAACAGCCGUGUCAGACCAAACUUCGCAGGAAGAAAUUCGAGGUGAGGGAAGUCGACUAUCAAGUCUUGCAGGGAAAGCAAACAGAGACCGACACAGAUGCCUGUUUUGUCUUUUUGGCUGCAGCGUUUAUUAAUUCAAACAGUGAAGCCUUGGAGACGAUCUCUGACGUAUCUGCAGCUGAGACCCGAAUACUCCUCUCUGAACUGUUGCCAUGCUGUCAGCUUCUGCUGCUUGCCUUACAGUUACAACUAAACUGAUAACAAUUGACGUUUAGAGUGAAACAAAACAAAAGUUCACAACAGAAGCUGCCUUGUUCUGACCUCGGAAUGAAAUGUUCUGUAUGCUUCUGUCAAAUUCUUGCUGCAGAAUAUCAGUUACUUCAUGUUUGUGCAGAAGAAACUGACGUUUCUGCUUCAGUUAUAAAAACUGGAAGAUCCUGCAAGUACAGAACUGAACCAGAACGGAAUUUUUGGCAAGAAAAUAAACCAAUCAGCGAUCACUGCA